rnacentral:rRNA from 1 species
AUGGAGGCUAUUCAUGCCAAGCUAAUUCAACUUGAGAGGCAACUGGAGCAAAGGGAUAAAGCCCUAGUGCUCAUCGCGCGGCAGCUGAACAUGAAACUACAAGCAGGGGAGAUGCUCGCAGAGGAAGACCAUCAACGUCUUUUUGCAGUAAUGACGUAUGUGAGAAAUAUUCUGGAUGAGGAAGGGAAAAGGAUGAAAAUUCCAUUGCUAGACCUCUUCAAAAGAGAGCAGGCUAACAGCAAAGAGCUCCAAGAGAAUCGCCAAGAGUUGAUUCAGUGGGGCGCCGUUGUUGGAAUCAAAAGGAUGGGCCAACUUGAUGAGAAUCCUUUUCGCGCCGCAUGCAAUCUGAAAUACAGGGACAAUGAUCCAGAGGGUAAAGCUGCAAGUUUGGUCUCGUAUUGGCAGGAGGAAAUACAGAAGCCAUUAUGGCGUCCGUUUACUAAUACUGAGGUCGAUGAAGAAGAUAAGGAGGUUAUAGAUGACAAUGAUCCAAUACUAAGCAAGCUGCGGUUGGAUUAUGGCGACAGCAUCUGCAAUGCAGUGAAGGAUGCACUGAGAGAGCUCAACGAGUAUAGUCCUCAUGGACGGCAUGUCAUGAAUGAGGUCUGGAACUUCCGGGAGGGGCGGAAAGCAACGAUGACAGAGGUGAUCACCUGCAUUUUGGAGCAGCUGGCAGUGGCAGACCCAGGAUUGCGAGGACAGGAAUUCAAGGUUCCCCCCAAAAAAUGUUCAAAAUCAAUAUAA